rnacentral:rRNA from 1 species
UUGCCUACGGGGGGCAGCAGUGAGGAAUAUUGGUCAAUGGGCUUACGCCUGAACCAGCCAAGUCGCGUGAGGGAAGACUGCCCUAUGGGUUGUAAACCUCUUUUGUCGGGGAGCAAGACCCGCCUCGUGCAGGCGGAGCGAGAGUACCCGAAGAAAAAGCAUCGGCUAACUCCGUGCCAGCAGCCGCGGUAAUACGGAGGAUGCGAGCGUUAUCCGGAUUUAUUGGGUUUAAAGGGUGCGCAGGCGGACCAUCAAGUCAGCGGUAAAAUCGUGGGGCCCAACCCCAUCCCGCCGUUGAAACUGGC